GAUUAACGCUGGCGGCGUGCCUAACACAUGCAAGUCGAACGAUGAAACUCAUUAGAUUUCUUCGGAAUGAAACUGAAUGGAUUAGUGGCGAACGGGUGAGUAACGCGUGAGUAACCUGCCUUACACAAGGGGAUAGCCUCUGGAAACGGAGAAUAAUACCCUAUGAAACCAGACAAUCGCAUGAUAAUCUGGUCAAAAUGUUUAGUGGUGUAAGAUGGACUUGCGUCUGAUUAGCUAGUUGGUGAGAUAAAAGCUCACCAAGGCAACGAUCAGUAGCCGGCUUGAGAGAGUGUACGGCCACAUUGGGACUGAGACACGGCCCAGACUCCUACGGGAGGCAGCAGUGGGGAAUUUUGCACAAUGGGGGAAACCCUGAUGCAGCGACGCCGCGUGAUUUAGAAGGCCUUCGGGUUGUAAAAAUCUUUUGUAUAGGAAGAAAAUGACAGUACUAUACGAAUAAGGUCCGGCUAAUUACGUG
rnacentral:rRNA from 1 species